rnacentral:misc_RNA from 1 species
GGCUAUCGCGGGCAAGCCAUGCUCCCACAGGGGAAUGCAUCCAAUGUGGGAGCAUGGCUUGCCCGCGACAAAC